GUAAGGAAUAUUGGUCAAUGGGCGCAAGCCUGAACCAGCCAUGCCGCGUGCAGGAAGACGGCCCUCCGGGUUGUAAACUGCUUUUGUACGGGAAUAAACCUCGCUACGUGUAGCGAGCUGAAUGUACCGUAAGAAUAAGGAUCGGCUAACUCAGUGCCAGCAGCCGCGGUAAUACGGAGGAUCCAAGUGUUAUCCGGAUUUAUUGGGUUUAAAGGGUGCGUAGGCGGCCUGUUAAGUCAGGGGUGAAAGACGGUGGCUCAACCAUCGCAGUGCCCUUGAUACUGAUGGGCUUGAAUGGACUAGAGGUAGGCGGAAUGGGACAAGUAGCGGUGAAAUGCAUAGAUAUGUCACAGAACACCGAUUGCGAAGGCAGCUUACUAUGGUCUGAUUGACGCUGAGGCACGAAAGCGUGGGGAUCGAACAGGAUUAGAUACCCUUGUAGUCC
rnacentral:rRNA from 1 species